UGUCAGGUGAAGUGCGAUUUGAUCCUUGGUUUCCUCCAAAAAGUCCCAAGUUCUUCCUAAGCAUGACAUCAUUAGCUUGGUCCUCAUAAUGGAGGACCAAUGGGUAUUGAUGCCAAUUUUAGCAUGAAUGGUAGCUUCUAAACCAAACAUCAGGCUGAAGGAGUCUCCUCGGUGCCAGAUUAGAAGGUGCUCUGGAGGGCCUACAAGAUGCGUAGUAGCUCAUCUAACCAUCCACCCUUAGCUUCAUCAACUUUGUUUUUCAAGGCUUGGAGGAUUUUUUUUGUUGGUGGCUUCUUCUUGGAGUUCUUCUAGAAAGUCUUCACAAAACUAUAGGUUAAGGAAAUGUGAAGAUUGCUGCAAAACUCUUCAAACUUUCCUUGCAACUGAUUAUUGUUGUUUGUGAUGAUUAGCUGUGAGACCACAUACCUACAGAUGGCUGUCUUCCAAACAAAGUUUUCCAUCUACUUGUCUGUGAUAGUGGCCAGUGCCUCAACUUCCAUCCAUUUGGUAAUACGACCACGGCCUUGUUGAGA
rnacentral:lncRNA from 1 species